rnacentral:rRNA from 1 species
UGCGCAGGCGGAAUAUUAAGUCAGUGGUGAAAGCCUACAGCUCAACUGUAGAACUGCCAUUGAUACUGAUCUUCUUGAGUAUAGUUGUAGUGGGCGGAAUAUAUCAUGUAGCGGUGAAAUGCUUAGAUAUGAUAUAGAACACCGAUCGCGAAGGCAGCUCACUAAACUAUAACUGACGCUCAGGCACGAAAGCGUGGGGAGCAAACAGGAUUAGAUACCCGAGUAGUCC